UACGAAGGGGGCUAGCGUUGUUCGGAAUUACUGGGCGUAAAGCGCGCGCAGGCGGUCUUCCAAGUCAGUGGUGAAAGCCCGGAGCUCAACUCCGGAAUUGCCAUUGAAACUGUUGGACUUGAGGAUGAGAGAGGUGAGUGGAAUUCCCAGUGUAGAGGUGAAAUUCGUAGAUAUUGGGAAGAACACCAACGGCGAAAGCACUCUGCUGGGCCGACACUGACACUGAGAGACGAAAGCUAGGGGAGCGAAUGGG
rnacentral:rRNA from 1 species